CCUUCCUAGACUGCAUGCUAAGCAUCCCAGAGGCCACAGAGAGGCCACAGUGAUCAGUUCCAGCACACCGGAAGUCAAGAUGUGUGUCGUUUCACUCAUUGACAGUCUGAUCCUGUGGACAUUUACUGAGGGUGUUUACUGACAAGUAAAGACCCCCUGAUUUCAAUGGGACUUGAUCGUGGGUGGCACAGAAGAUGCCCAGGCAAAGGGAAGUGACAGCACUCUCAAAACAACCUGUCUUGCUUCAGUAAACGGCAACCCUAAAUCUGUGGCAAAGCCAUGGGGAACCAUCUCACCGGCAAAGGGCCUCU
rnacentral:lncRNA from 1 species